AUAGUCACCCCGAGAUCUUUUCUACGCUCCAUAGGCAGUAGUGUGAUACACCAAACUGUGUUUCCGAAUAUUGGCAUAUCAAAUAGGUCUCAAGAUUACACGAGCAUACAUGACCCAAAAACAUAUAUUAUAUUUUGCAUACCUAAGAAAGUACUACAAGCCUAAUGAGUUCCAUACGAUUUACAUUAACCCUAGCGAUCCAUCUAGGGAAUGUAGAAUGCAAAACAAAAUAGUAACUAUGCAUGAUAUAAUGGUUCAGGCAAUUUGCAUAAGCUAAAUUGCCCUCAAUCUUCAAAACUUCGCUUUGUUGCGUGCCUUGAAUAAGAUUGUUAAACUAGUCACCAUCAUCGCCAGAGUUAGUAUCUCAUUCAUCGCCAUAUGGAUCAUAAUGUUUAUCGCACGAGAUAUCCCCUGCCUUGAUGUCAUAGGUGUUAUCGUCAUCAUCAUUAAUGGAAUGAUUAUUAUCAUGACUCAGACCGCCUCCAAUAUUGCUUCCCACCCCCCUAUAAAAUGAUAACUUGUAAGAGAGUGAAAAAUGAUGUAAUGUACUGUAGUUAAAUUCAAUUGAGCCACAGGAAACAACCUUUUAUAGGGAAGCUACAGGGAAUAAAAUUAAUUGUUCUAUAUUGUACUGGAGUAUCCAUGGACUAGGAACUCAGUGUACAUCAGCAUUUACUAGUGCUAGACCAGUGGUUCGCUCCUUUUCAAACCAUGCAUCCGGGGAAUAGAAACUAAAUGUAAAUGGGAAUAAUACACAAAUAAAACUAGUUCACUCGUUUGCACCUUUUAUCCACAAACUUAUAUACUAGUAAUUUUGACCUUUUAAUAUAGUUCCCUGGUACAUGUGAUAAUUCGUUUUUAGUAAUCAACUCUGCGAUUUAGCAAAGAGGAAUGAUUUAUGAACUUAAAGUAAAUCCAGAAAGUUACUAAGUGAAAUAGUUAAGUGCGGCACAACCAUGGCAAGCUUUUUCAUCAUCCGAAUAUGCACAUACUUUCUCAUCUUACUUUGUUCCUGUAUAACUAGUUGUACAAAGCGAAGCUGCUGCAACUACUACUACUACUCCCUAGUAGAAUUUCCACCAUAGUUGUGUGAUUUGUGCAGUUUUGACAUCUUAGCUCGCAAAGAUUUGACAUUAGAAAUAUAUCAGACUAGACUAGCUGGGGAUUGCAGCCUUAACUUGCGGAGUACUACAAUACGGUAAUUGGUAAUGGAACUGAACAGAGGUGGUACACCUACCUGAAGUCGGCCAUCUCACUGGAUUGGAUCUUUUUGGGCAGUGACUCGUAGAAAAUUCUGAGAGGUUCCCUCUGUCAAAUUUUUUUAAAAAUCAGAUGAAUGAAAACAUAUAUGUACUUUUUGGACAGUGACUCGUAGAAAAUCCUGAGAGGUUCCCUCUGCCAAAUAAAAAAACAAAUCAGAUGAAUGGAAACAUAGAUGUACUCUAACAUGAACGAAUUAAGAAGAGGGAGACGGAUGUGAUUCAGUUACGGUACCUUGGAAGGAUCCAACUUCUAGCCGGGCAGGGAGAAGGCAUUCUUGGCCGCUUGCUUGGUACAUGGAUUUGACAUUGGAUGAAGCUAGCGAUAUGGAUCUCCCACCUCCUUUACCCUUCAUGAGAAGGAGACCACAGCAGAAUAGAACCCUUCAGCCUGCGUUGUCGCUCGGCCAUCCACACGCGCCACCGCUCGACGAGCAGCCCGGUCCACAGCUCGCCCAUCAGCCGCAUCGCCGCUCCUUGCGCUGCUGCUCGCCAUUGUCCGCCACUACUGCUAGCAGUACUGUUUCUGUAGAAAGAGAAGAAAUAAGAGACCAAGGCGAGAGGAGAAAGAUCUUCCCUUAAAGAGAGGAAAGAGGCACUGAUCUAGCACCUUAGAUCGCCGGGUGCUGCACGCCGCCGCCAGAACUGGUGAGAGACGGGGUCUGGCUGGGUGGACUUGAUUUUUAUGGGAGGAUAGAAAUGGGGGAGGUGAAAAACGUCUCCAUCAGCCUCCAGCCAUGGCUGUUGUGGAGUGGAGAGGGGAGGGGAGGAGCCGAUCUGAAGCUAGUUCAGGUGGUGGGGGCGGUGAGGGGUGGAGGCGGAUAAGGUGAGGGUUGGUCUGUGGCGGCGAGGUGAAGCUAGGCCACGACGACUAGCAAGGGGAGGUCCAUA
rnacentral:lncRNA from 1 species